GGUUCACUCCCUCUGGGGCACCUGGCAUUGGCCACUGUCAGUAGACAGGAUACUGGGCUGGAGGGACCUUUGGUCUGACCCAGUAUGGCCAUUCUUAUGUCGAUAGCUCAAAAGAAGCAAUUUUGUCUAAUGCUUUGCAAAAAAAAAUUUGCAAAGGGAGUUCCCUGGAUUUACCCCAGUGUUAGACUGUUGUUGCCUUCCAUCCCUCCCUUAUAAAGGUUUUGUGUGGUUUUUUUGUUUUGUUUUUUUUUUUGGCCGCGCUUUUACUUUAGUUUAGUUCCCACAUGCAGCCACAUGAUGGCAACAAAACGCCAUUAUUAGCCCCGCCGUGUGAAACACCCUCCCCCCAGCCAGGCAGCCGGGCGCCUGCAGGGAGGGGCCCUGCCCAACCGCUCCCUGGCGCCCCACGCCGCAGGCAAACGCCCAGCUUGGCGCCGCCGCCGCGCGAAGGACACCGAGAGACGGGCGGAGCACUUGACAGGCUGCCGCAGGGCGGCCACCGCGCGCGCAGGGGCCGCUAACGAGCCGGGGCCGCCCUCCCGCCAACCAACCAGGGCAAUCGCCCAAUCCCUUCUUAACCCCCCCACAGCUCCCUCCGCAAGCCUAUCAAGGCGGCUGGGUGGCCGGGGCAGGAGCACCUGGGAAGGCGCCUGCCGCCGCCACCUUCACGCGCCCAGUCGUGCCCCCCCUCCCCCGCCGUGGGAGCGGGCGGCCUCGGUUGGGCCCGGCUGGACUGAGGGGCCCGCUCGUGGGAGCGCUUUGCCUCGAGGGCAGCCGGGAAACGCCGGGGGCGGGGGUGUUUAACUCGAGCCCGUCCGACCUUCGUCUGCCGGGGUGGCCGCGCCUCACCCGCUCGGGGGUCGCAGUCCGGGGGGUGGUAGCGUUCUCUGGCGGGACAAAGCGCCUUGCAGCUGCCUUUAGUUGACAGCCCUGGCCUGGCGGGUUCGAAAUAAAACCACCAAAACCCACUUACUGUACCUGGACUUGGUGCCCCCGGCGGGCCAGUGCGGAGACAUAUAAAUGCCAAGAGAUCUGAGAGUGGCUCAAGUCUUUCAACAACUGAAGUGACUCAUUAAUCUUGCUGGAGAACAGUUUUGGACCCUUGAACAGAAGGUCCUAUACAGUGGCUUGGACUUCCUUGGGGAAUCCUGACAGGAUGAAGCCAGGAUGCCUGGCGCAUUACUACAGCGGUUGCGAUGGUCCUUGCCACCCUGUCAGCAGAGUCCAAAGAUGCCUGGAGGGCUGUCCUAGCCAAGAGAUGACCCUCAGAAAUGAGCAACUGCUCCCUUUUGUCCUCUGGCAUGUAGGCUUCGCGGCCAAAAUUGAGAAAUCCAUUUGGACCCACUAUGAAGAGCAUGGAUGUACAAAAGAGCACAAGUAACUCAACUUUCGACUUUUCAUAUCCAUUGCAGCCACAAUAAGCAGCUUUUUAAACUUUUCCCCUUCGUCCAGAUCCAUAACCACUCACUGAUUUAAAACGAUGGGCACACGAAACAAUAUAUUCAUACACACUUAAUGGUAACUUUUUUGCUUAAGAAAAGUGUUAAACUACAAAAAUCUUUGACUUACACAAGGCUCACAAAACCAGUUCUCUCGUUUUUGGCAAGCAGCUAAAUAACAUUCUGGACACACUUCGAUUUCAUUCAUCUGCAACAAGAAGGUGAGCAGCUACUGCAGAGUUCAAAACAAUCUAAGCUGUGAUUAAAACAUUAUUAUUCUAUUCUUUCUAGGAUCCUGCUAUCGUUAGGAGGAAAAUGUGCAGCCACAGAUCACUUUGUAGAUAAUUAUACUUUUUGCCAAGUCAUUAUAACAUGGUUUUGAGAAGCAUUUGCUCUUCCCCAUAUUUGAUCACUGGGAACAUCAUACAGAACAUUUUACAUGUGAAAGAUACACUGAAGGAUUCUGAUGAGGUAUUAUUCAGGACAGAUGAAUCAGCAUGAUUAAGCUCCAUAUACUUCUUUUUAAACUAAAACUAAGAAAAAUUUACCAUUGUUAAAGUAAAAUGUAAUACUUCUCUACGCAUCAUAGGUGGACCCGAGAGUUGAUAAAAUAAAUUGUCAUAUCAUAGAUCACUCUUCAGAUUAUAUUUUAUCACUGCCAUGUGUCCCAGUGACAAAAAUAAAAUCUUAGUUUGAGAAGGAGAGAAGACACUUCAUUCAUAAUCAGAUAUAAAAUAUUUUAUUCCUCAUGUAAAAGGUUUUUUUAAAUAAACAAAUGGAGAAUUAC